GACGAACGCUGGCGGCGUGCCUAAUACAUGCAAGUCGAGCGCAGGAAAUCAUCCGAACCUUUCGGGGGGACGUUGAUGGAAUGAGCGGCGGACGGGUGAGUAACACGUAAAGAACCUGCCCUCAGGUCUGGGAUAACCACGAGAAAUCGGGGCUAAUACCGGAUGGGUCAUCGGACCGCAUGGUCCGAGGAUGAAAGGCGCUUCGGCGUCGCCUGGGGAUGGCUUUGCGGUGCAUUAGCUAGUUGGUGGGGUAAUGGCCCACCAAGGCGACGAUGCAUAGCCGACCUGGGAGGGGGAUCGGCCACACUGGGACUGAGACACGGCCCAGACUCCUACGGGAGGCAGCAGUAGGGAAUCUUCCACAAUGGACGAAAGUCUGAUGGAGCAACGCCGCGUGAACGAUGAAGGCCUUCGGGUCGUAAAGUUCUGUUGUAAGGGAAGAACAAGUGCCGCAGGCAAUGGCGGCACCUUGACGGUACCUUGCGAGAAAGCCACGGCUAACUACGUGCCAGCAGCCGCCGUAACAC
rnacentral:rRNA from 1 species